GUGCUCACUUCAGCAGCAUAUAUACUAAAACUGGAAUGAUACAGAUUUAGCAUGGCACAUGUGCAAGGAUGACAUGCGAAUCUGAAAAAGAGUAUUACUUCCUU